GACAGAUGGGAGCUUGCUCCCUGAUGUUAGCGGCGGACGGGUGAGUAACACGUGGGUAACCUGCCUGUAAGACUGGGAUAACUCCGGGAAACCGGGGCUAAUACCGGAUGGUUGUUUGAACCGCAUGGUUCAAACAUAAAAGGUGGCUUCGGCUACCACUUACAGAUGGACCCGCGGCGCAUUAGCUAGUUGGUGAGGUAACGGCUCACCAAGGCAACGAUGCGUAGCCGACCUGAGAGGGUGAUCGGCCACACUGGGACUGAGACACGGCCCAGACUCCUACGGGAGGCAGCAGUAGGGAAUCUUCCGCAAUGGACGAAAGUCUGACGGAGCAACGCCGCGUGAGUGAUGAAGGUUUUCGGAUCGUAAAGCUCUGUUGUUAGGGAAGAACAAGUACCGUUCGAAUAGGGCGGUACCUUGACGGUACCUAACCAGAAAGCCACGGCUAACUACGUGCCAGCAGCCGCGGUAAUACGUAGGUGGCAAGCGUUGUCCGGAAUUAUUGGGCGUAAAGGGCUCGCAGGCGGUUUCUUAAGUCUGAUGUGAAAGCCCCCGGCUCAACCGGGGAGGGUCAUUGGAAACUGGGGAACUUGAGUGCAGAAGAGGAGAGUGGAAUUCCACGUGUAGCGGUGAAAUGCGUAGAGAUGUGGAGGAACACCAGUGGCGAAGGCGACUCUCUGGUCUGUAACUG
rnacentral:rRNA from 1 species